GCAUUGUAAUCUGUCAUAUUUCUGAGCUGAACAGACAUAAAUAAAAAAAUAGUAUCGCUAAUUUAAAUGUGUGCAUUAAAGCCAUACAAUAAAACUGCACUGCAUUGUUGUAUAAGAUCAGAUCGUCCUUAUUUUUGCUUGAUCUCUCAGAUUCCACUCUGUUAAACACUGGUGCUAUUUCAAUACUCAUUUAAAAACAGUUUCUAAAAACAACCAGGCACAACUAAUAUUACACAAGUUAGAGAAACUUUCAACUGUAGCAACCAAAUGACUCCUUAUUUAUUGAAGUAUCAUCAACCAAAUCCUUGUCAAAAUGUUACUAGUUAUUUCAAUCCUUGGUGAUAUUUGAUCAUAACACUAUGAAAUACAUUAUAGCCUACUGUUAUAGUAGCUAUUUCAUUGUGUGCCUAAAAUGUAAACAUUACCAAGAUUAUUUCUUCUUGACGUACAGAAGUACCCCCCCCGUUUUGAUACGUCGAUGAAAUAGUUACCGAGGCUUGAAAGUGUGACCGUAAUAAACUAAACUAAAUAACUUUUUAGUAGGUUGAUGCCAGGUACCCAUUCUUGCCAAGUUGAGGUUCUCUGCCUACCCACCCCUACACGGUAUACCAAGAGGAGAAAUGUAUUAUUCCAAAUAAUCUACAACUCCUAUGGUAUACAGUUGUUACGUCCCAAUUAUCUCACUCCUUCCUCCUGAAGUGCGCACUCAUUCACUACUCCCCACAAAUCUAAAGGCGUUGGAUUGGUGGAGGCAUGGGUCGUUAGAGGGAGUUUACAUAUGCCAGUAAUUUCCUUUCCAAUUUUAUGAAUGGAAGUGAACAAGUGCACAUUUCUGGAGAAAGGAGAUAUUGGGACGCACGCCAUGCUCCCUCACAGCGGGGUAAAUCAUUUGCUUUGUUGAACUGGCAACACUUGUAUUUCUUUCUUUGGGCAAAAAGUUGUGUUAUAAAUAUGGUCCUGUUUAUCUUGGGGAAAAUGGAUUGUAAUGAAUGGAAGGUUCCCCUAUUAAAAUAUUGAAUUGUUUUUUUUUUUUAAGACUACCACUGUAAUCCCA
rnacentral:lncRNA from 1 species